rnacentral:rRNA from 1 species
GACGAACGCUGGCGGCGUGCUUAACACAUGCAAGUCGAACGGAAAGGCCCUGCUUUUGUGGGGUGCUCGAGUGGCGAACGGGUGAGUAACACGUGAGUAACCUGCCCUUGACUUUGGGAUAACUUCAGGAAACUGGGGCUAAUACCGGAUAGGAGCUCCUGCUGCAUGGUGGGGGUUGGAAAGUUUCGGCGGUUGGGGAUGGACUCGCGGCUUAUCAGCUUGUUGGUGGGGUAGUGGCUUACCAAGGCUUUGACGGGUAGCCGGCCUGAGAGGGUGACCGGCCACAUUGGGACUGAGAUACGGCCCAGACUCCUACGGGAGGCAGGAGUGGGGAAUAUUGCACAAUGGGCGGAAGCCGGAUGCAGCAACGCCGGGUGCGGGAUGACGGCCUUCGGGUUGUAAACCGCUUUCGCCUGUGACGAAGCGUGAGUGACGGUAAUGGGUAAAGAAGCACAGGCUAACUACGU